rnacentral:tmRNA from 1 species
GGGGUAGUAAUGGUCUCGACAGGGACUAUGAAACCGGAGAAGCUAUCCGAAGGGGAUCGCGUUAAAUCUCACAAACAAAAUAGACGCAGAAGAUAAUUUUGCACUCGCUGCAGCCUAAGUGCUAGCGGCCGUCGGUCCGGAGUACCUAUCCUCCGAUAAACCGGCGUCAAACAGAUAGGAAACGGCAUAUGCAAAGCUUUGAGCAUAUGUACGUAUCAUGAAGCUACCGAACCCGGAAAGCCGUCUAUCGCUGUCCGGCAGAGGGAAUCCUAAAAGGUGGACUAUGAUAGUAGAAGGACGGCGGAUUGGUUUUUGGACACGGGUUCGACUCCCGUCUACUCCACUA